UACGGGGGAGCAAGCGUUGUUCGGAUUUACUGGGCGUAAAGGGCGCGUAGGCGGCCAGCACAAGUCAGUUGUGAAAUCUCCGAGCUUAACUCGGAAAGGUCAACUGAUACUGUGCGGCUAGAGUGCGGAAGGGGCAACUGGGAAUUCUUGGUGUAGCGGUGAAAUGCGUAGAUAUCAAGAGGAACACCUGCGGCGAAGGCGACUACCUGGCCUGUUCUUGACGCUGAGGCGCGAAAGCUAGGGGAGCAAACGGG
rnacentral:rRNA from 1 species